GGAAGCGUGCCCGAGAACUCAGGGAUUACCUUGAUAGAGUAAAUACAGGAACAACCCUCGCUUCCU
rnacentral:tRNA from 1 species